UUCUAUGAAGAGUGGAAACUAAAAAACACUUUGUUGAAUAAUUGAAACGGCGCACCUGCUUUUAUUUUUUCUGUUAGCAAUAAUAUAUACAGAGGUAAAGUGGUCAAUGUUGGUCAUUAUCACUUCUUUUGGUUUGUUCACCUAUAAACCUUUAUAUUACACCUAAAAAGAGUAUGGCACCAGAAUGCUUCAGUACAUCAAAAUCUUGACUUUUUUAUUUUAAUAUAAAAAUGUAGCUCCUGAAAAACCCACACACACACACACACACACAUACAUACAUACACACACACACACACACACACACUAACAUAAUGCUUUAGGUUUCAAAAAAAUAAAAGUAAUAGUUCUAUAUACAACACGUGUACCAUACAAAGUGUAUCCAAAAGGUUCUAUUGCUACCAAGCUUUUUCUAAAUUUUAACAGGUUACAUAAAACUUUUUCUUUUACAGGAAUGUAAAAAAAAAAAAAAGUAAACCUACAGAAAAAAAAAAAAAAAGUAUAUUUCUCAACAGAUUUUGAUGCAUACUUAUCCCAAAGCCAGUUGUCAUAUGUAUUCACCUGUAAUAAAAUACACGUUAAUAAAAGUUUUCUAAAUUAAUUUCUUCAACGCAAGUUUCAACAACAAACUCUGGCACAUAUAAUUAAAU